AACGCACCUUGCGCUCCUUGGUAUUCCGAGGAGCAUGCCUGUUUGAGUGUCUUGAAAUCAUCAAACCCCUCCGGUUUCUGCUGGAGUGGGUUUGGACUUGGGGGUUUUUGCUGCCUCACGGUGGCUCCCCUUAAAUGAAUCGGUCGGGCUUUCGUGUGGCUUGUCCCUUGGCGUUGUAUCAACCUCGUCGCUGGAUGGCUCGCGAGUUUUGCGCCCCUCCAAGACCAGCCUCUGGAGCGGCGGUCAACUUCAAUUCUUGAUCUGACCUCAAAUCAGGUAGGACUACCCGCUGAACUUAA
rnacentral:misc_RNA from 1 species